CGGACUGCAGUAUUGCUGGUAAUACGCCAAGCUCCUAAUUUGGAAGUGAAGGUUCGACCCCUUUCGGUCCGC
rnacentral:tRNA from 1 species